rnacentral:rRNA from 1 species
UACGUAUGGAGCGAGCGUUGUCCGGAAUUAUUGGGCGUAAAGGGUACGCAGGCGGUUUAAUAAGUCGAAUGUUAAAGAUCGGGGCUCAACCCCGCAAAGCAUUGGAAACUGAUAAACUUGAGUAGUGGAGAGGAAAGUGGAAUUCCUAGUGUAGUGGUGAAAUACGUAGAUAUUAGGAGGAAUACCAGUAGCGAAGGCGACUUUCUGGACACAAACUGACGCUGAGGUACGAAAGCGUGGGGAGCAAACAGG